rnacentral:rRNA from 1 species
GAUGAACGCUGGCGGCGUGCCUAACACAUGCAAGUCGAGCGAGGGUUUGCUCAGUAUUGAGUAUUCUAAGACUAGAAUGUUCAAUUCUGAGCAAAACCAAGCGGCGGACGGGUGAGUAACGCGUGGGUAACCUGCCCUAUACACAUGGAUAACAUACUGAAAAGUUUACUAAUACAUGAUAAUAUAUAUUUGUGGCAUCGCAGAUAUAUCAAAGUGUUAGCGGUAUAGGAUGGACCCGCGUCUGAUUAGCUAGUUGGUGAGAUAACUGCCCACCAAGGCGACGAUCAGUAGCCGACCUGAGAGGGUGAUCGGCCACAUUGGAACUGAGACACGGUCCAAACUCCUACGGGAGGCAGCAGUGGGGAAUAUUGCACAAUGGGCGAAAGCCUGAUGCAGCAACGCCGCGUGAACGAUGAAGGUCUUCGGAUCGUAAAGUUCUGUUGCAGGGGAAGAUAAUGAUGGUACCCUGUGAGGAAGCCCCGGCUAACUACGUGCCAGCAGCCGCGGUAAUACGUAGGGGGCUAGCGUUAUCCGGAUUUACUGGGCGUAAAGGGUGCGUAGGUGGUCCUUCAAGUCGGUGGUUAAAGGCUACGGCUCAACCGUAGUAAGCCGCCGAAACUGGAGGACUUGAGUGCAGGAGAGGAAAGUGGAAUUCCCAGUGUAGCGGUGAAAUGCGUAGAUAUUGGGAGGAACACCAGUAGCGAAGGCGGCUUUCUGGACUGCAACUGACACUGAGGCACGAAAGCGUGGGUAGCAAACAGG